GUUGUUUUAUUCAGAUGGAGUAAGUUUUAAUGCUCAAAAUUACUGACUGUAUUUAACAGGUAAUUAAUUAUUCAUUGUUAUAACAACACCUAUGGUAUUUUGUUUGUAGGCAUAGGUUGAAUAUAUAUUUUUCAAAUGUUGGCAUAGGUUGAAGACACCGCUCAUUUUCGCCACAUCUUUCCAUGUUUUCUACAGUUUAUGUUCAGGUCUAAAUGUUUUUGAAGUAUACUGAUAUUUCUAUAUGAAGAUAACUUCAAAUGAAAAAUAUACUUAAGCUUGAAAACCGGUUUGUUUUAAGAAAAUCAUCUGAAAAGUUAGAUUAAAGGGUGUUUGAAAUUUCCGGAUGUUUUGUCAAUGGGGACACAUAUUCGCCGUUUUUACACAUCUAUUUAAAACCAAAUAACCGCAGCUUUUAACAAUUUUUAUCAAAUCAAUUGCAUUAUAGAUGAAUAGCAGACAUUUCAAAUGUAUAAAGAAUUCAAAAUUAGGACAUUCAGUCAAAUAUUUACUUAGAAAUACUUCUUUGAAAUCGUGUUUUUUAUUCAGGAAAUUGUCCGAAAAUCGUUGUCCGUUUUUCGGUCAUUUUCGGUAGGAGCCACAAUUUUGUCUCCGUUUAAAAAAAGAUUAUAUUUGUUAUAAAAAUAUAAUUUACGGGUACAUUUCUUCCAUUUCAGCCAUCCUUUGAAGUUUUUACACCUCAAAACCCUUAAACGGCGAAAUUGUGUCCCAGGCGAAAAUGAGCACCCCACUCUACAUGU
rnacentral:lncRNA from 1 species